UUCCGUCUUGUGUUCUUCCAUCAUCAUCAUCAUCAUCAUCAUCAUCCCAUACAGCUACUUAUAUAUCUCAUUAUGUUCAUUUGAGGGAUUAAACAGUGUGUUUUCAAGCUGGAUAAGCGAGCGCAAGCGAGCGAUUGAGGCUUGUAUGAAAGAUUGAAACAUGUGCAAAGGUAUAAGCGAUGAGACAUUUGUCACCAUAAUCCUCCAUCAUUAGCUUAUUACCUAAUGAAACGAGAAAGAUUCUUGAACGUGGGUAUAAAAACGUUGAACAUGGUUGGAAAAAAAAAAAAAAAUUCAAACUUUUAACCGCUUAGUUUCUCCAACUCGCUCACACUCAACUAUCUGAACAACGGAGUUCAAGAUUAGAACUAUAAGGUUAAAAGUUAGUGAUCGAAGAUUAGAUGUUCAGCUUAGAGUUAGUUGAAAAAUUAACUAGGUAUUUGAAAAAUAUACUUUAUGUUUAAAUGUGGG
rnacentral:sRNA from 1 species